CCUGAAUGUCGCUGGCUGCCGUUCACAGCAGGCUCUCUCUGAGCACCGUGGGGAGGCAGUGACACCCGCUGGCCUCGCAGCGACACUCCGGCAGCUGUCCUGUUUUCCAGCCUGGACGUGAUAGCAAAGAUAAAGAACCUGUAAAGAACCACCCAUCUAGGGAUACAUUUCCAGCCCCCCUUUUAUCAAAGCGGUGACAUGUGACCGAAUUCUGCCCAGUGACAUGUGGGAAGAAGUGGCUCUUUCAGGACUGUUCCCCCAAAACUGUCUUUGGGAUGCUCCAAACUUCUUUAUUCCCCCAAUCCUCUGAUGAACAUGCACCUGACAUUGGAUGCUACAUGUUAAAAACGGAGUUGUCAUCUUCUACCUGGGUCGCUGAAUGACUGUGUGGAUCAGGAAGCUCCCCACUCUUCCCUGCCAUGACUGAACUAGCCACUGUCAUCUGGAGGGUGUCUGUAAUAGCAUCUAGCAUUGCCUAACAUCAUACUAAUGGAACACUACAUAUUUUCAUCUGAAGUGAUAUCAGUGGAAUUUCCACUGAAAGCAAAGGUUUAGAUUUUGGAGCAAUAAUG
ensembl:lncRNA novel transcript